rnacentral:lncRNA from 10 species
CCCAGCCCUCUGGUUUUGAUUUAAGUUUGGGUCUCUGUGAGGCAAGAGUCCCAGAGUCCUUGACCCUCAAAGGGACAACUCAGCCAGUGGCACCAUAGUUUGUAACAAAUAUGAAGAUGCGGCCCUGUGUCAGUCAGGCAGCCAGUACUAAGGUGACUGCCUGGAGUUUGGCCAAUUGUGUUGACCCUUGAGUCCUGUCCUUCACUGGGGACAUUCUGACUGAGAGAUGGAAAGCAGCCAUCAUCCACUGAGCUUCCUCAUUCUUACAAUGGUUGGCAGUGUGGUUCCUACCAUCUGUGUUCACUCAGCUAAUCCCAGGGGCUCUCCAGGUAGCCACGAGGUCUGAGAGAAGGCUUUUGGCCACCUCAAGUUUUUGGGUUUUGUCUCAGGCU